rnacentral:tRNA from 1 species
GGGCGUGUAGCUCAGUUGGGAGAGCACCACAAUGGCAUUGUGGGGGCCAGGGGUUCAAGUCCCCUCACGUCCACCA